CCUANGGGAGGCAGCAGUGGGGAAUUUUCCGCAAUGGGCGAAAGCCUGACGGAGUGACGCCGCGUGUGGGACGAAGGCCUUCGGGUCGUAAACCACUGUCAGUGGGAAAGAAGGGUGUCGGCGCUAAUACCGCCGGCAUUUGACGGUACCUGCAGAGGAAGCCCCGGCCAACUCUGUGCCAGCAGCCGCGGUAAGACAGAGGGGGCAAGCGUUGCUCGGAAUUACUGGGCGUAAAGGGCGCGUAGGCGGGAUGGCAAGUCGGUCGUGAAAUCCUUCGGCUCAACCGAAGAACGUCGAUCGAUACUGCUGUUCUUGAGGGUUGCAGAGGAGACUGGAAUUCCCGGUGUAGCGGUGAAAUGUGUAGAGAUCGGGAGGAACACCGGUGGCGAAGGCGGGUCUCUGGGCAAUUCCUGACGCUGAGGCGCGAAAGCGUGGGGAGCAAACGGGAUUAGAUACCCGANUANUC
rnacentral:rRNA from 1 species